ACUCCUACGGGAGGCAGCAGUAAGGAAUAUUGGUCAAUGGAGGGAACUCUGAACCAGCCAUCCCGCGUGCAGGAUGAAGGUCCUAUGGAUUGUAACUGCUUUUAGUAGAGAAGAAAAGCUGACAUUAAUGUUGGUCUGACGGUAUCUACAGAAUAAGCACCGGCUAACUCCGUGCCAGCAGCCGCGGUAAUACGGAGGGUGCGAGCGUUAUCCGGAAUUACUGGGUUUAAAGGGUGCGUAGGCGGGUGAUUAAGUCAGUGGUGAAAUGGUGUCGCUUAACGAUAGAAUUGCCAUUGAUACUGAUUAUCUUGAAUUGGGUUGAGGUUAGCGGAAUGUGACAUGUAGCGGUGAAAUGCAUAGAUAUGUCAUGGAACACCAACUUGCGAAAGGCAGCUAACUAGGCCUUGAUUGACGCUGAGGCACGAAAGCGUGGGUAGCGAACAGGAUUAGAUACCCUGGUAGGUCAGUC
rnacentral:rRNA from 1 species